GUGAAUCAUCGAAUCUUUGAACGCAUAUUGCGCCCCUUGGUAUUCCGGGGGGCACACCUGUUCGAGCGCCAUUUCGACCCUCAAGCAUAGCUUGGUGUUGGGCACGGUCCUAGGGGGACCUGCCUGUAACUCGUAGGCGGCCACCGCCCGCGCCCCCAGCGUAGCAAGCUCACGCGUUCGCUCGGGGACGGUACGCGCCUGGCAGCCCAAAACAAUUUUCAAGGUUUGGCCUCGGAUCAGGUGGGGAUACCCGCUGAACUUAAGCAUAUCAAUAAGCGGAGGA
rnacentral:misc_RNA from 1 species